UCCUCUCCAUUCUUCUUAGUUCUUCAUCUUUUAGGUAGUUUAGGUAGUUUUGUUUAGCCUUUGUGUAGAGAGAGAGGUGUAGCAUCUUUGGUUGAUAAUCAAAACAGGAGAUCCUAUACCUUUUGAUCAAUCACACUUGUGGAUAGAUUCAUAAGGCCUUGUUCUUCAUCUUCUCUUUGUGUUUGUAGAUUUGUAUAGUGUUUUGGAUUUGAGGAAACCAAAAAUACUAUACUUUGAAGCAUCACAUCUUCUUGGUUUGCAUCUAGAAAGCUUGUGGAGGGAUUGAUUCAUCUCGGUUUGGUAUUGACACACCAAACCCAUGGGUAUCACGACGAUGGAGGAAGAGGAGGAGGAGGAGGACUCAGUCUAAUUUGGAGAAGGGAACACGUCCCUGUACUCUCUAUAAAAGGGAGGAAUCCUCCGUUUAACUCUGCUUCAACACUGAGUUUUUCACAUGUUCUUGAUUUUCAGCGUAGAAUCUGAUUCAGAAUUCUUGCGACAACUCGUCGAUCAAUUGGCGUAUAGAGAUCUUGCGACUCAUCCUCUGACCACUGCUUUAGGUAACAA